ensembl:lncRNA novel transcript
AUCACAAAGCUGUCCUUGUUUGAAGACACUUGGGAAUUUCAGGUGUUGCCGUAAGUCUACUGAGCUCUCUGGGUGUCUAACCUUGCCUUCUUGUCAUCAGCUAUUAAAACUACUAAAACAGAAGAAUGCUUAACCACUACAGCUGUUAAAACAUUAGUACGUGCUUUGAUGCUGGAAGAAGACUUUUCAUGCUAUUCUUAGAGACAGGGUCUCACUCUGUCACCCAGGCUGGAGAGCAGGGACGCAAUCAGAACUCACUGCAGCCUCCAACUCCUGGGCUCAAGCAAUCCUCCCACCUCCACCUCCUGAGUAACUGGAACUACAGGUGUAUUAAGCAGGCAAUUAAGAAGUGGAAUCUACAGCUGGGAUUCUUCAGCAAGGAACUUGCACUUCGGGUUUCAGGAUCGAGAACAUCCUGGAAAUAAGAGCGGAAGCAGAAAAGCCAGCAGAGCAGGCCAUCACAAUAGACGUGGCGUGAGAUGUCAUGGAACUGGAGCAGUUAAACCUCAUUCUCCAGGGUACUGGUGCUACUGCCAAGAGCGGAAAACUUUCAUCUUCCAAAACCUCAAUCAGCCAGUUUCUCAUCUGCAUCCCAUAAAUCAUCAAGAAAGAACAAGCUCAUUAUCUCAGCACCAGGGACAAAAGUCUUUUACAUGACACUGAACUUCUGACUACUGCAAAACAUGGCAGCUUGCCAUCAUAUGUUUAACAGGUGUGUUGGUCCCUUUAACAGACUGGGCCAGAAGUUUGAGGAUAUGGUCUGAAAUUUCAAUUUUGUUACGUGUUGUGACUUGCACUGGGCCCAAAUCCAGAGGUAAUUGGGCCUAGUGGUCUGAAGAGUUACUUGGGUGUUCUGUAAUUUUAGUAGAUUUGGAGAAAGAGAGGUGGGGAUGUCUGUCCCUGAAGAUAUUUUCUCAUAGAAGCAAGGAAUUACAGGAACUUCUCUGUUGUGUUUUGGGUAAGUGUUUCCAUGCUGCUACUCUGAAUAAUAGGGUAGAUAUUUCCAGGUACAGGCUGUUAAAAUUUGCUAUAUUACCUCCAUUCUGUAUGUAGUUCCUUCUCUACAUAACAGUGUUGGUUAGGUAGUGGAACCUUCUAAAUGACGCACUAUGUGAUUCCUGUGUCAUAUAGAAUGUUCUAUGAUUCUUAGCCAGAUAAUCAUAUUCCCAGAAAAGGCCUCUCAACUUUCACCUGCCUUUCUAAGGACUGAAAUACUCUGAGUGUUGCAUAAAGGGUGUUCCAAAUAUGGGCAUUCACCUGUUUCCUGAUUAAAAAAAGAUAAUUUGGUAUGAAUAAAAAAAAAGGGACGCUUUGUAAUGGGUUUGGUAAAUCUUUCCUGUAACAGGUUAGAUAAUAAAUAUUUUAGGCUUUUGGGAUAUGUAAUCUUUAUUUUAACUACUCAAAUGGGCAGCAAAGCAAAAGCAGUAUGUAAAUGAAUGAGUAUUGCUGUGUUCCAAUAAACUUUAUGGAC